CAUGCACAGGGAGAAAACGAGAGGUGGACGAAGGCUCCAGCUGUAGCAUGUCCACUGGCUGCAGUCAGACAUGUAGGAGGAGGAGGUGCUCUGCUCGUCGUUCCAUGUCCGCUUCAGUCCUCUAAGCACCUCCCAUCCCCCCCUGAACGCUCGCUCCCUGGCUCUGCGGUUGCUGAGGGGCUGGCUGGAAUGACCCGGGAGAGCGGGAGACACAAGGAGAUGCGCUAGACAGGGCUGCCGGCUGGGAGGACUCUCUGAUCCUUGAUCCCUCCUCUUCUCCAGGCUGACACAUACAAGGCAGACCUCUGAUCUGCCCCACAGAUGCAUGCCCAUAUAGGAGGGCAUGGCUGUGUAGACAGAGGGUCUUCAUCAAGCACAGCCACAGAGAGGAGGACCACCACAGAGACACGCAGGGACACACACCGCCAACCAGACGCCUGUGUGUGUGUGUGAGUGUUUAUGGGAGACCCCUGCUUAAAAAAAGAACCUCCCGUCAACCAGUCAGCAUUCAGAGAUCGUGAAUGAUUGCAAAACAGAGAGCGGCCUUUGCAGUGCAACCCUGUCCCAUGCUGCUCCCUCCUCUCAGGGGAUGGCCAAGGUCCAGGAUGGACACACGAACGCAUGUG